ACUCAGUUUAAGAAAUAUUUAUUAACAAUGACAGGGAAACAAACUACACUAUGCACAACAUAAACAUACCACACACAAGUUACUAUGUUUACAGUAUGUACAGACAAGGCGUUCCAGAGGACUAACUUUCUAGUCACCCAGAAAACCCCCAGACUGCUGCCAAAUCCAAGCCUACAGAGAUUAAAACAAAAGAUGAAUAAAUGCAAUACAACCUGCGGUUAAAUCUCUCUCUUUUACCACAAAAUAAAGGGGAGCCUAUCUCUGUUUUUCAAAUUUUAAAUUUAAGUAGUACUUAUUUUUGCCUUGUUUUAUUAUUUUUGCAUUUUCCUAUUAUAGUAUAUAGUAUAUCAGCAAUCGAGGAGUCUUUCUUCCCUUUGGCAGUCACUUUCAAGCAAUGUAAAGUAACUCGCUCAUCUCUUGGAAAGCUCCUACUACUGUCUUAUUUGUUGGUAAAGUUUGUCUGUCUUUGUUUUAUUCUUAUAUUGGACUUCCAUAUCGCUUAACUAUUCCACCAGUGGGAGAGCAGGUGACAAGCAGAAUAAGUUUCCAAUCACUACAGCUCAGAAGGAAACGAGAAAGGCUCCAUCAGCAAGGAUUGUGCCAUCAUUUCUUACUGUUAAUCAGUUUCUCCAUCUCCCAGUUCUAAAGUCGUAACUUGAUUCCUUUUGUGACUUUCUGCCAACCGAUGCACUGUUUGAUCUGUCCCUGUAUGGUCAGGACACACAUGAGAACCUGUCUGUGGACCUCGUGCUCCUGGGCUUUGGCAUCAGAACUAUUCGUGUAUUUCCUAACGUCCAGCACCUUUUCUGUCACUUCAGGGAAUUCCUAUAACUGAGAAAAGUACCAGUUUCACUUUGAGUUUCAAGCACAAAACAUCUCAGCUGAUGUGGAAAAUCUACAUUCUUCACCCACAAACGCCCAGGUCAAAAUGUCUGCCUGAAGCUCGUACUGUACGUGCAGCAGCUGUCUCACUGUUAUUUUGCUGGGCCAGCCUCGACUCCAGCGUCGCCCGGUGCACCAAGCCAGACCUUCGCUUUGCACAGCAGCCUCAGGUCUGCCCUUCUAAGCCACCCGGCUCCUUUCCCAGGAAGCUCUCAACUCAGUUUCUCCCAUACAGCAGACUCCCUGUUUUCCGACCGGCGGAUUCUUUUUGGCAGCAACCCUGGCUGUCAGCCCCCAGUCUGCGCAGCAGCCUCAGCUCCAAACCGGCUCUCAGCGUCGCCCGGUGUUGCAGCCUCAGCUCCAAACCGGCUCUCAGCGUCGCCCGGUGUUGCAGCCUCAGCUCCAAACCGGCUCUCAGCGUCGCCCGGUGUUGCGGCCUCGACUCCAAACCGGCUCUCCGCGUCGCCCGGUGCUUCAGCCUCAG
rnacentral:lncRNA from 1 species